UUUCAUUUUGUAUUUUUUUUUUUCACUAAUAGAGGGAUGUGUUGUAAUUACCCAAAAAAUAAAGAUUAAUUUAUCAAUAAAAAAAUCAGUUAGCAGAUAUUUAAAAGAUAACUUACUAAAAAGGCACAAUAUCACGUGACAAACACAUAAUAAUCCCGACGAUCGCGCAUGAUUAAGUCAAAAUCAUAACACAACAUAGAAAACACAUGCAUAUAAUCUAAUACACACACAAACACA
rnacentral:lncRNA from 1 species